GUGGCUCAGUGGCUAAGAGCACUGGCUGCCCCUCCAGAGGUCCUGGGUUCAAGUCCCAGC
rnacentral:tRNA from 1 species